UACGGAGGAUGCGAGCGUUAUCCGGAUUUAUUGGGUUUAAAGGGUGCGUAGGCGGACGGUCAAGUCAGCGGUAAAAAUGCGGUGCUCAACGCCGUACAGCCGUUGAAACUGUUAUUCUAGAGUAUGGGAGAGGUAGGUGGAAUUCUUGGUGUAGGGGUAAAAUCCGUAGAGAUCAAGAGGAAUACUCAUUGCGAAGGCGACCUGCUAGAACAUAACUGACGCUGAUGCGCGAAAGCGUGGGGAGCAAACAGG
rnacentral:rRNA from 1 species